rnacentral:rRNA from 1 species
GACGAACGCUGGCGGCGUGCUUAACACAUGCAAGUCGAACGGAAAGGCCCUGCUUUUGUGGGGUGCUCGAGUGGCGAACGGGUGAGUAACACGUGAGUAACCUGCCCUUGACUUUGGGAUAACUUCAGGAAACUGGGGCUAAUACCUGAUAGGAGCUCCUGCUUCAUGGUGGGGGUUGGAAAUUUUCGGCGGUUGGGGAUGGACUCGCGGCUUAUCAGCUUGUUGGUGGGGUAGUGGCUUACCAAGGCUUUGACGGGUAGCCGGCCUGAGAGGGUGACCGGCCACAUUGGGACUGAGAUACGGCCCAGACUCCUACGGGAGGCAGCAGUGGGGAAUAUUGCACAAUGGGCGGAAGCCUGAUGCAGCAACGCCGCGUGCGGGAUGACGGCCUUCGGGUUGUAAACCGCUUUCGCCUGUGACGAAGCGUGAGUGACGGUAAUGGGUAAAGAAGCACCGGCUAACUACGUG